GCUUACGGCCAUACCACCCUGAGCACGCCCGAUCUCGUCUGAUCUCGGAAGCUAAGCAGGGUCGUUCCUGGUUAGUACUUGGAUGGGAGACCGCCUGGCAAUACCAGGUGCUGUAAGCU
ensembl:rRNA 5S_rRNA 5S ribosomal RNA